rnacentral:tRNA from 1 species
GCGCGCAUAGCUCAGCCUGGAAGAGCACCGCCUCGACAUGGCGAAGGCCGCAGGUUCAACUCCUGCUGCGCGCACAA